AAGUCGUAACAAGGUAACCGUAGGUGAACCUGCGGUUGGAUCAUUACCAAUUUUUCAAUUAUUCUCAUAUUGCUUGGUUGUUUGGAGGAGAAAAUUUUCUUCUCCUUCAAUCAAGUCAAUUUAUGAGAAAAACACCUUGUGAACAAGUAAUUGUUUUUUGGUGGUUUUUUUAAGCCUUUAAACUUUCUAAAGGUUUUUUGCUCUAGUUUUUGCUGGAGUGAGGCCACCAAAGGACCUUUCCACUAUCUUUUUUCAAAAGGCAGUUUGGUUUAAGGUCUUUUAAACAAACUCAUUAUUUAUUAUUAUUUUCUUUUAAAAAUAAAGCCAAUAGAAAAAACAACUUUUAACAACGGAUCUCUUGGCUCUC
rnacentral:misc_RNA from 1 species